rnacentral:lncRNA from 1 species
UGAUGAGUGCAUAUUUAUGUCCACAUUUAUGCUUUAAAAUUAAAAUUUUUGAUAGAAUAUUUGUGCUUAAAUGAUUGAUUUGUAGAGGAUUUGUGAUUAUUGGAUUUAGCAUGUUUGGAAAUAAAAAGGGCUUAAAAAGUGAUUUUAAUUGCAUAAAUUAUUCUUGGAUGUUCUAAUAUUUAUUUGUGCAGCUGAAAUUAUAAGUUUAUUGGUCCAAAUUACAAUUUAAAGCCCAAAAAUCAGGUUUUAUUUGGAAAAUAAUGUACAGAUGGGCCAAACAGGCAGUCUUUACCCUUGCACCUCCCAAAAUUCCCUACAUACACCUCUGGCCCAACACUAAGCUAAACAGUAAUCCUAUUCUGAAUACACCUCCUAAGUUUCCGACACACACUCCUCCUACCACUAAUUAAACCAGAUCCAAUCAGAACAUGCCACUUCAUCUUCUUGCCACGUCAUCAUCUUCCACACUAAAACCCUAAUUUCCCUCUGCAAUGAAACCCUAGCCGUCAACUUCUGCAAGCCGCCGUCAAUGCCGCAAGACGCCGCGAUGGCCAAUUACCGAAACAGCCGCUCCCCACAUCACGAUUUCGCAUCUCGCCGGACCACCACGCCGUUCAUCACCUUCCUUCUUCUUCAUCGAGGGGCCACCACCGUGAGGAUUGCCGUACCACCAUCAACAUAGAUCUGCACUCAGAAAACCAAGAAACAGGACGCAACCGCCUCUCAUCUGCAGCAACCAUCUUCAUCCUGCAAGACACCAUGUCGCGUUGCCAAUCUCCUUCGUCUUCAUAACCUGCGAACCAGAAACGCAAAGACAACCAACAGAUCCACCACGCCGUCGUGAGAUUCCAUGGCCAUAACCAAGAAUCACGCUGUCCAUCACCACCGCAUCGCGUCGCGUCGCAAGCAUCAUCCUCCUCCUCCAUGGCAACCAUGCCGUCGGCCAUCAUUGCAUCAACAGUCGCGAGCGAGCAGCCGCUGCAAAUCUGCCGCGCCACCACCUGCAAAUCGAACAACCCAACAAGAAACCCAAAAUCGCAUCAGUUUUCAUCGCGAGUUCAUCAUCGCACAACCAUUCACGCCGUGUCGCGACCUCCAUUCUCCUUCAUCAUCGUUUUUCCUUCUCCACCUGAAUCAAAGAAAACCAGACGCACAAUCAAUUGCAUUCAAACUACAGCGCCAACACCAUGGGUGAGCCAAU